rnacentral:rRNA from 1 species
GGUUCGUGAAUCAUCGAAUCUUUGAACGCAUAUUGCGCUCUCUGGCAUUCCAGAGAGCAUGCCUGUUUGAGCGUCAUUUCUCUCUCAAGAUCCUCUAGGGGACUUGGUAUUGAGUGAUACUCUGUGUUAACUUGAAAUACUCUAGGCAGAGCUCCCCCUAGAAAUCCUCUGGGCCGAAAUAAUGUAUUAGGUUCUACCAACUCGUUAUUUUCCAGACAGACUUCCAGGCAGAGCUCGGCUGAACAACCUUUCUAAGCUUGACCUCAAAUCAGGUAGGACUACCCGCUGAACUUAAGCAUAUCAAU